AGUGCAAUUGCUGGGUCAAAUGGUUAGUGUAUGUUUAGUUGUUUAUUUUAAAGAAACUGCAAAACUGUUUUCUAGGGUGGCUGUGUCAUUUUAAUUCCCACCAGCAAU
rnacentral:pre_miRNA from 1 species